UUCUGAACAGGAGGGAGCCUGUGCCAGGAACCAGAUGCUCUUGACCAACUAUUGAAAUGAAACUACACAGAAGCCCCAUGCAAGUGGUGCCUAUUGUUUUCAUGAUCGAAGCCUUCUUACUGAUACUAAAGCAGAGUGCAAUUCCUCUGUAGAAACUGAGGACAGAAAACAAAUUUGGUUUUGGCCAGUAGUCCAGAACAGCCCUUUUGUUCUAAAAUCUGCCUUGUCUCUUUGGAUCUGGAGGAAUACGGUGUAAGUCCUCUUCACAUAUUCAACUGUUGGUAAAAUAGAAGAUGGAGAUCUUUCUUAAAAUCUUGAAAAGGGCGUACAGGCAAACGCAUAAUGUUGGAGCACACUCCUUGAUGAGAGAAGAGGGCCUAACUUAAGAAAUUCUUAUGCCUUUUAGGACAGUAAAUUUUCCUUUUGGCUAUUAAAAUAGGGAAUUUCUCUUCUGAUGAAGAGUUUCUCUUCUUUCCUAUGUUGAACUUACAAAUUUCACUUCAGUAGGCAUCCCACAGACAUCAACCUUUCUACCAACUUUGAAGAUGGGUAGAGUCUCUGUGUUAUCUAAAGAAGAACAUUAUCUGUGCAGUUAUGUGACUGAGACUAGAGAAAAUGUAACUUUGUUUCUCCAACCCCAGGAGGGGGCAGUAAGUUUCUUUUUGUUGCUGCAGGAAGCAAGUCCAACAUUAUAUACACCAUGGAAGAUUCUGCACUUAAAAAUAGCCAUUUAUAGUAAGAAACUAACAUAUUUAUUUCAUGAUUUCUUAUCACUUUCAUUGUUCUUAAGUGUACUUUCCUAACAGUCUUUAAUGUAGAAAAUA